UACGGGGGGGGGCAAGCGUUGUUCGGAAUUACUGGGCGUAAAGGGCGCGUAGGCGGCCUUCUAAGUCGAACGUGAAAUCCCCGGGCUCAACCCGGGAACUGCGUCCGAUACUGGAAGGCUUGAAUCCGGGAGAGGGAUGCGGAAUUCCAGGUGUAGCGGUGAAAUGCGUAGAUAUCUGGAGGAACACCGGUGGCGAAGGCGGCGAUCCUGGACCGGUAUUGACGCUGAGGCGCGAAAGCCAGGGGAGCAAAGCGGG
rnacentral:rRNA from 1 species